rnacentral:rRNA from 1 species
CCCUUAGAUGUUCUGGGCCGCACGCGCGCUACACUGACGAUGGCAACGAGUUUUUCCUUCGCCGAAAGGUGUGGGUAAUCUUUUGAAACAUCGUCGUGCUGGGGAUAGAUCAUUGCAAUUUUUGAUCUUGAACGAGGAAUUCCUAGUAAGUGCGAGUCAUCAGCUCGCGUUGAUUACGUCCCUGCCCUUUGUACACACCGCCCGUCGCUACUACCGAUUGAAUGGUUUAGUGAGGACUCCUGAUUGGCGCCGCCGCCCCGGCAACGGAGCAGCGGACUGCCGAAAAGUUGUUCAAACUUGAUCAUUUAGAGGAAGUAAAAGUCGUAACA